UGUCUAUCUGGGUAACAUUGUUCAAUGCAUAUGUCAACAGCAAAUCUUGUGCCGAUAGUUCUUCAAAUUGAGCAUCCCAUAGAAGUUUCAUAAAAGACCGUUGGAAUUGAGUUGCAACAGCUACAACUCUGCAUGUAAAAACCAAUUAUGAGUUAGGCAAAAACAACAAGCAAACACUAAAUGGACAAUGAUGUGUAUUUUACUUUGUAGAGAACUUCAAAUCAGGAACAAAAAAAUAACACAAGAAUCCUAUCUAAACGCAUUGGGCACGGAAAUGCAUUGGACCAAUGCUAUAUUGUCAAUGAACAAAUCACUGCAGCAAAUUAACAAACAUCUGAUGCGCCAACAGUAGAUUGCUAUAUAACAAUUCCAAGAGCAUGGACCAGCAACAAAAAACAAGAGAUGCAGCCGAUCUAACCCAUACAGAGAGACCAGAGAGGGAAAGGGAAGUA
rnacentral:lncRNA from 1 species